AGCCUUGAAUCAUUUAAGGACAGAUCUAAACACUUUGAUGAGUUCAAAGUUUGUCCAGUUGACAUCCACGAUGUUGACCCUUUCUUCUUCACUGAGAGUUGAGAGUUUUUCUCCAUUUCUGGUGAGCUUGAGCUUGAGCUUCUUUUAAUUCCAACAUCCCCCCUCAAGAUGGAGGGGAGGGAAGCGACACCCAUCUUGUAAAGCUGUUGUUGAUGAGAAGGGCCUGAUAAGGACUUCGUGAAAAUGUCGGCUAACUGGUCUUUUGAAGGAACAAAAGAGAGGGAGAUGAGACCGGAGAGAUACCGCUGUCUCACAAAAUGACAGUCAAGCUCCAUGUAUUUCGUCCUCUCAUGAAACACUGGAUUUCGGGCGAUGUGAAUCGCCGCUUGACUGACGGAGUGAAUCAGAACAAGUAAUGGUGGUGGAAUCGACAGAUCUGAGAGUAGACGGGGCAACCAAGUUAACUCAGCCACCAAUCGACGCAUUGACCUAUAUUCGGCUUCAGCCGAUGAUAGAGAGACAUAUGUUUGCUUUUUCGACUUUCACGAGAUGGGAGAUCCACCCAUAGUGAUAUAAAAUCCACUAACGGAGCGACGAGAGUCCGAACACGAAUUCCAAUCAGCAUCGCAAAAAGCGGCAAGGGAGAAGGAUGGUGAAGCAGACAAAGAAAUUCCUUGGUUGGGAUUUCCUUUCAGAUAGCUUGCAAGAAGAGUCCAUGGGUGAAGAAACAGAUGACAGAUGGGAAAUGUCAAACUCUUGAAGUAAAUCUAAGUGAAUUCAAGAUCCAAGCUAUCACCAUGUCAUUACAUCUAUUCCAAAGUGGCAGAUCUGGAGAUUCAUCAGAUGUUUGAGUAGCAUGAGCACCAGUGAUGAAUCCCAAUUUAUUUUUGGCUGAUAAAGAAAGGAGGAUGGACCUCUUCCAACCCUAAUAACCUCUUCCAUCAAAGAGGUUAUUAACCAACACCAUUCCAGUCAGAAGCAUGAAGAUAGUAGGGGUGAUUUGAAUCAACAGAUAUUACACUACCAGUGUUUGUUGAUGAGUUAACAACAGAAGUUAUGCCUUCAGCCAUUUUGAAACGAGAAGAAAACUACAGAUUUCUUAGUGAUUUGAUUUGAUUUGUUUACUGCUCUGAUACCAUGUAAGAAUUAAUUAAGAACAGUAUUGGGAAAUUUCUGGUUGUAUUUCAUUUGUAUACCUUUAUAUGUAUUUAUACAAGUCUAUUGCAUAACAUAAAAAAAGAAUAUUUAAAUCCUA